AUACGUAGGGGGCAAGCGUUGUCCGGAUUUACUGGGUGUAAAGGGCGCGCAGGCGGAUUAGCAAGUCAGAGGUGAAAUCCUACAGCUUAACUGUAGAACUGCCUUUGAUACUGCUGAUCUUGAGUACGGAAGAGAGAGACGGAAUUCCAGGUGUAGUGGUGAAAUACGUAGAUAUCUGGAAGAACACCAGUUGCGAAGGCGGUCUCUUGGUCCGAUACUGACGCUCAGGCGCGAAAGCGUGGGUAGCAAACAGGAUUAGAAACCCGUGUAGUCC
rnacentral:rRNA from 1 species